AAUUUGCAGGGGAAUUAAGGACAAUUUAGGCAUUCCAGAGAGCUUCAGCUGCCCACCUGCAUCAUCCCUUGGGCCAAGGGCAGUGAAGGGAUAGGCUUUGCCUAUCCCCCUGCUCCCUGGAAGAUGAAUGUGCACUGCAGAGAGCUGUUCCUAAGGCCAUCACAGGACAUUUGUACUGCAGCUGUCUGAGACCAGGGGAGCAAAAGAUGUUGCUGAAUUUACCAGCUCCUCUAAAUGUCCACGAGCUGUCCCUGUUUGGAUUGGAUUUUGCAUUGCAAACGAGGCAUUGAGCAGAACCAAAGCAGCUGCCUGGCAUUAAACAUGUUCCAAGCAUCCAUGCCAUGCCUGUGUGACAUCAAAUACCCUUCUGUCCCAGACAACCAGCUACACAGACAACUGAAUUAUCAGGAAUGAGGGCAAUGAAACUGUGGGCAAGUUCUUUUUGUAGGCUGAGAGUGGCAGUGGCUGGACUGUGACUGUAGAGUAUCAGGUUUGCCAAAACCCACAGUGCAGGCAGAACAGUGGUUGUUUUAGGAAGAUCACAGAAAUGGGGUUUCCUCAGGACACAAUCUUCCACAAAGCAGGAGCUUUUCUCUGGUAGACCUGACACAUUUCUUGACCUGACCCCAGCCAAAGAAUUCCUUCAGGUCUUCACCAGGAGAAGGUGAUAACCAUAGGACUGGAAAAACCAAGAGCACUCUUGAGAGAGGAACUGGCUGUGAGAACAGAGCAGGGCUCAGUCACAAACCCAGGGAAAAAGCAUUUAGGUGUGAGAGGACACCACCUCCAAAUCUGAGAGUCUUGGA